AUACAUACACAUUGCUAACAUUUUGUAGUUAAGUGGCAAUCUCGGUAGUUAGAGUAGCAAAAUUCAUUAACCCUAAUUUUUGUAUGUAUAAGAGAGAGAUACAAUGAACCGUUCAAAAAUCGCCGCCAUGGCCGCUGAUCAUUUGAAAAUAAAAUUUUAAGUGAAUGGAUAUAUCUUUUACUUACAUAUGUAUGUAUGUAUGUACAAGAAUGCAUCUGUUGCAUUGUGUCCAAAAUAGUAUUUAUGUAAAUAACCUCAGUCGGUACGUGAUUAGUGAAACUUAAGAUGCAUUGUGUCCAAAAUAAUGGAUUAUUAUUAUUUUGUUAAUAACCUUACUAGAUAUUGGAAACACAAAUACUUUGCACAAAUGGAGGAUUACAAUAGUUAAAACUUUUCUUAGACAUGAUCAACAAGACAACAACAAAUCCCAUCGGGCAUUUAGAUUAGCAGUUGCACAACCUCUUUCCGGCGAGCUGAACCCUUUUAUGAUGUACAUAUGAGAUAGAAUUGCGUGGAAUUGACAUCAAACAAUAUUGGUUGAUUAGUUUCGUUGGAUCCUUACAGGAUAGUUAUAAGGAAAUCGUUCGCGUUUAGUACUAAUGUAUUCAUUUGCUAAUUCAUAAUUUAAAUGUAAAAUUUUGUUAAAUUAUACAAAUGAAUGUUCGAAUACUAAUAACAAUCGUAAUAGUAGUUUAAUUUUAUUUGUAUUGUAUAACAACAACUACAAAAAAUAAAAAUUUAAUAAUUAAUAUGUGAAAAGUAAAAAUUUAAUAAUUAAUACUAACUUUAUUUGUAAAAUAUGUAAAUUUUGUCAAUGUUUAAA